CCUACGGGAGGCAGCAGUGGGGAAUCUUGCGCAAUGGGCGAAAGCCUGACGCAGCCAUGCCGCGUGAAUGAUGAAGGUCUUAGGAUUGUAAAAUUCUUUCACCGGGGACGAUAAUGACGGUACCCGGAGAAGAAGCCCCGGCUAACUUCGUGCCAGCAGCCGCGGUAAUACGAAGGGGGCUAGCGUUGCUCGGAAUUACUGGGCGUAAAGGGAGCGUAGGCGGACAUUUAAGUCAGGGGUGAAAUCCCGGGGCUCAACCUCGGAAUUGCCUUUGAUACUGGGUGUCUUGAGUAUGAGAGAGGUGUGUGGAACUCCGAGUGUAGAGGUGAAAUUCGUAGAUAUUCGGAAGAACACCAGUGGCGAAGGCGACACACUGGCUCAUUACUGACGCUGAGGCUCGAAAGCGUGGGGAGCAAACAGGAUUAGAUACCCUGGUAGUCCACGCCGUAAACGAUAGAUUGCUAGUUGUCGGGAUGCAUGCAUUUCGGUGACGCAGCUAACGCAUUAAGCAAUCCGCCUGGGAGUACGGUCGCAGAUAAACUCAAAGGAAUUGACG
rnacentral:rRNA from 1 species